ensembl:lncRNA
AUGUCAGCAGAGUAUUUACCAACCCUGAUAUCUCAGAGCUGCAUUGUGGAGACAGAACUGAGAGGAACCGGCAGAUGGAUUGACAGACUGAUAACUUCAUUCCAUCGUGUUCUCCACUGCAUCUUUGGCGCCUCCUAUGCCCCUACACAUAGGGUCCCUGACCACCGGUCCUCACUGAUGCUGUCUCACUCCGUCAUCUCACCUCCCAACAAUCUUGCUGGAACUGGAUCCCCUUUUGAAACCUCAGACUGCUUAGGUGAGCACCAGACUCCUGCCUGCCUAUUCCCAGGCCCCUCUCCCCAUGGGCCAGAGGCUGCUCUCCUUCUUCAACCAUGAGUGGUAGAUUUGCUGUGAAUAAAGUUAUCAUGCCACAAAUUCCUACCUGAUUUUAAUAUACCUUCCUUUUAUACCUUUAUCUAAUACCUUUAGAUAAUAUGUGUAUCUUUUAUAUGCUAUGCUACGCUAAGUCGCUUCAGUCACGUCUGACUCUGUGCGACCCCAUAGAUGGCAGCCCAGCUCCCCCAUCCCUGGGAUUCUCCAGGCAAGAAUACUAGAGUGGGUUGCCAUUUCCUUCUCCAAUGCAUGAAAGUGAAAAGUGAAAGUGAAGUCGCCCUGUCAUGCCCGACUCUUAGCGACCCCAUGAACUGCAGCCUACCAGGCUCCUCCAUCCAUGGGAUUUUCCAGGCAAGAGUACUGGAGUGGGGUGCCAUUGCCUUCUCUGAUCUUUUAUAUAAUACCUUUUAAUUAUAUAUAUAUACACCUUUUUUUAUAAUACCUUUUACUAAUAUCUUCCUUCACCUGGAUUCCCACUGCCUCAGUCAAUCCACUAAAUUGGAACCCAUUAUACACCAGCUCCUGCAGGAAGCACACCAGGGGUCAACGUGGAUACCAUAAACUACGUUUCCUGCCAUUCUCCCAGGGUCCAGGGCUGAGCCAGGCACAUUCCCUAGUUCUCCACUGCUGUGCCAUCAGCUCCAAAUAUUCCAUGUGCCCUAGUCUUCCCCUACUUCACUCUCCUUGAGGAAGACACAUCACGUAUUAUGUAAGGGUGCCCUAAGUUACAAAGCAAGGAGAAGCCAACUGAAGCCAUGAUUAUCUGAACAAAAUGUCCAACUCUCAACGCAAAUAUUUAGAUGAGUUCCAUCUCUGUGAUCUUGAGUGCUCUGCAGGAGAAGGUCCACAAUGCAAGAGCCAAGUGGAGACGGAUCUUCCGUGCAGGGAGGCAUGUGAUGAAGUCCUUGUCUUUUGCCAGUUCUUGUCUACUCAUUUUUAGCCCUGAUGACCUAGGUUUAUAGACACAGAGAGGAAAUAAGAUGUAGUAGAAAAAUCAUGACUGGAUGUCCCGAGGCCUGAAUUUUCAUCCUGGCUGUGUGUACCCCACCCCAGCUGUGUUGCUCCACUUCAAAUCCCUUCUCCUCUUUUAAGACUUCAGUUCCUUAGCCUUAAACAGGGACUGGGCGGGGGUGGGGUGGCUGGUUGAUACUCUUUCUAAGUUGAUGAUUCUCAUUCUUCUUGUGUUUGCAGCCUACUUUCAAAGAGCAAACUAUGGUGUAACAAUAUUAAAAACUUUAAAAGACUCAAAACAACACUAAAAUGUCAGCAAUCACUAAAUACAAUUCUCCAGCAAGGCAGUGUCUCUCUGUGACUGUAAAAUCACCCACAGUUAUGGUUCAAUCUCUGGCUACGUUUCACCACUUUAUGGUUCUUUGAGUGGAGCUGUUUACUGCCAUGACCUGCUUCUCUUGUGGACCACAGAGUCGAAACUUUCACAUGUUCUGGAAGCUCCACAACCUUUCAUUUGCCUGGGCUUGUUGACACUGGGCCCAUGCCCCACAGAGCCUAUUUGUUCCAAGACUCACUUCCACGUUAUCUCAAGGUUUCAUCUGACGACAAACUAAAACGUCUUAAGGACUCAGAUAUAACCCAAAUGGUUUU